GACCACUUAACUAUCCGAGCAUUGCUUUCUUUAGCUUUAUAUCCUUCAUCCCGGCACAUCCUCCAGCGAAUAGUAUUUUCCACCUGGUUCGGAAGGCGAGGCCCAGGUCAGAGCAGUGGGAGGAGAGGCCGAACAGGAUGCAGCCUGUAGCCACAGCUAAGAGCUCCGCAGGAAAGAGAAGGAAUUUAGUCCACACAGCUUAACACUGAGAGCCGGGCAAUGGUGGUGCACACCUUUAAUCCCAGCA